UGUAAACAUCCUUGACUGGAAGCUGGUGUUAAGUUUUUGGGCUUUCAGUCGGAUGUUUGCA
rfam:Xiphophorus maculatus strain JP 163 A Contig2.128, whole genome shotgun sequence.